UACGUAGGGGGCAAGCGUUGUCCGGAGUUACUGGGCGUAAAGCGCACGCAGGCGGUCUUUUUAAGUUUGGAGUGACAGUUGGUGGCUUAACUGCCAAAGUGCUUCGAAAACUGAGAGACUUGAGGGCUUCAGAGGGACACGGAAUUCCGGGUGGAGUGGUGAAAUGCGUAGAUAUCGGGAGGAACACCAAUUGCGAAGGCAGCUCGCUGGGACGUCACUGACGCUGAGACGCGAAAGCGUGGGGAGCAAACAGG
rnacentral:rRNA from 1 species